rnacentral:rRNA from 1 species
UACGUAGGGGGCUAGCGUUGUCCGGAUUUAUUGGGCGUAAAGAGCGUGUAGGCGGCCAGGUAGGUCCGUUGUGAAAACUCGAGGCUCAACCUCGAGACGUCGGCGGAAACCCUCUGGCUAGAGUCCGGAAGAGGAGAGUGGAAUUCCUGGUGUAGCGGUGAAAUGCGCAGAUAUCAGGAGGAACACCGAUGGCGAAGGCAGGUCUCUGGGCAUUAACUGACGCUGAGGAGCGAAAGCAUGGGGAGCGAACAGG